UACAGAGGGUGCGAGCGUUAAUCGGAUUUACUGGGCGUAAAGCGUGCGUAGGCGGCCAUUUAAGUCAGAUGUGAAAUCCCCGAGCUCAACUUGGGAAUUGCAUUCGAUACUGGGUGGCUAGAGUAUAGGAGAGGAAGGUAGAAUUCCAGGUGUAGCGGUGAAAUGCGUAGAGAUCUGGAGGAAUACCGAUGGCGAAGGCAGCCUUCUGGCCUAAUACUGACGCUGAGGUACGAAAGCAUGGGGAGCAAAC
rnacentral:rRNA from 1 species